rnacentral:rRNA from 1 species
AUUGAACGCUGGCGGCAUGCCUUACACAUGCAAGUCGAACGGCAGCACGGGAGCAAUCCUGGUGGCGAGUGGCGAACGGGUGAGUAAUAUAUCGGAACGUGCCCAGUCGUGGGGGAUAACGCAGCGAAAGCUGUGCUAAUACCGCAUACGAUCUAUGGAUGAAAGCGGGGGAUCGCAAGACAUCGCGCGAUUGGAGCGGCCGCUAUCAGAUUAGCUAGUUGGUGAGGCAAAGGCUCACCAAGGCGACGAUCGGUAGCUGGUCUGCGAGGACGACCAGCCACACUGGAACUGAGACACGGUCCAGACUCCUACGGGAGGCAGCAGUGGGGAAUUUUGGACAAUGGGCGAAAGCCUGAUCCAGCAAUGCCGCGUGGAGGAUGAAGGCCUUCGGGUUGUAAACUGCUUUUGUACGGAACGAAACGGUGAGCUCUAAUACAGUUUGCUAAUGACGGUACCGUAAGAAUAAGCACCGGCUAACUACGUGCCAGCAGCCGCGGUAA